rfam:Bifidobacterium pseudocatenulatum contig_00088_78885, whole genome shotgun sequence.
UGCAAGUUUCAGGGAAGGUGAAAAUCCUUACUGGCGGUAACGGUACGACUGACGUUCAUAACGGUCCCAUGCCGAAGCCCGCGACCCGCGAAAGCGGCUGAUCCGGUGAGAAUCCGGAGCCAACGGUCAAAGUCCGGAUGGAAGAAACGGGGC